rnacentral:lncRNA from 10 species
GUUUUUAUUUCCAGUUGCUGCUUACCAUUAGCUGUGCAAGACCAAAGGAUUUUGUGCUUUCUCUUGCCUAGUAAUUGUUCAGUCCAAAAUUUAACCAUGUUGUUUUUGUGUUAUUACCAGGAGCAAGAGGACAUGUGUAUUGGUGAGAGAAGAGGGGUGAGGAGUCAGGGAUAAGAUGAAUCUGAUUAACUUCAGGGGUUAUUAGAAUAAAUCUUGUAGGCUUGGAGAAUCUUGUAGGCUUGGAGAAUCUAGAGUUCUAUGAGAAAUGGUAAGCAGACUUCAUAAAUCCUGUCUGCGUUGCUGCUAUGAUCUUGGCCUUCCCCUGACAUACUCCCAAGAAAUAGAAACGAAUAGAAAUAGAAAUCUAAUAGAACUAGAAAUAGAAAUAUUUCCCAAGAAAUAGAAAGUAAAACUGACAAAGCCAAUGCAAAGAAAUCAGUUCGGAAGCUGUUAAUUUUCACACGAUCUGUGUUCAGUAACCGCCCUCUAUCGGCUCUCCUGAAUAGCACACUAUAUGGGACGGAGAAUCUGAAAGGCCUUUUUGCUGGUUUUCUUACUAACAGAGAGUUCAUAAACCAGGAUCUUCUUCAGCCUCCAAGGGUCUUGCUCUGUUACCCGGGCUGAGUGCAGUGGCACAAUCAUGACUCACUGCAGCCUCGACCUCCUGGGCUAAAGCAAUCCUCCUGCCCCAGCCUCCCAAGUAGCCAGGACCACAGGUGUGCACAACCAUGCCCAGCUAAUUUUUGAUUUUUUGUAGAGAUGGGAUCUCGGGAUCUCACUAUGUUGCCCAAGCUGGUCUCAAACUUCUGGACACCAGCCAUCCUCCCACCUUGGCCUCCCAAAGUGUUGGAAUUACAGGCAUGAGCCAUUGUGUCUAGCUGGCCUUACUGAUAAGGUUCUGUUGUUGGGAGGGUAUUCUAUGGCAUUUCAUGCUGAGAUUUGUAGAGAGCACCAGUGUCACUAUUAAAUAUUGAUUUCUAUUGAUUUCUCAUGGUUUUAUGAUUCCUUGGCUUGGGACAACAGGCUGUAUUACACCUUUGUGUUGGACUUUGUCAGUACCUGUCAUUCACCCUGCUCAUGUUAAGUAUCAUCAUUGCAAGGUGAUGGAAUGAGAGAAAAGCACAAAUCUCUAAAUGUU